rnacentral:misc_RNA from 1 species
GAUGAAGAACGUAGUGAAAUGCGAUACGUAAUGUGAAUUGCAGAAUUCAGUGAAUCAUCGAGUCUUUGAACGCACAUGGCGCCUUCCAGUAUCCUGGGAGGCAUGCCUGUCCGAGCGUCGUUUCAACCCUCGAGCCCCCGUGGCCCGGCGUUGGGGAUCUGCCCAGGCAGUCCCCGAAAACCAGUGGCGGACCCGUUACAGGCCCUUCCCUUGCGUAGUAGCAUUCGCCUCGCAUCGGGAGCCGGCGGGCUUCCAGCCUCUAAACCCCCAUCAAGUCCGCCCCGGCGGCACCAAGGUUGACCUCGGAUCAGGUAGGAAUACCCGCUGAACUUAAGCAUAUCAAUAAGCGGAGGA